UACGUAGGGUGCAAGCGUUGUCCGGAUUUAUUGGGCGUAAAGAGCUCGUAGGCGGUUUGUCGCGUCGGAUGUGAAAACCCAGGGCUCAACCCUGGGCCUGCAUUCGAUACGGGCAGACUAGAGUAUGGUAGGGGUGACUGGAAUUCCUGGUGUAGCGGUGGAAUGCGCAGAUAUCAGGAGGAACACCGAUGGCGAAGGCAGGUCACUGGGCCGCAACUGACGCUGAGGAGCGAAAGCAUGGGGAGCGAACAGG
rnacentral:rRNA from 1 species